UUGACCUCGGAUCAGGUAGGAAUACCCGCUGAACUUAAGCAUAUCAGUAAGCGGAGGAAA
rnacentral:rRNA from 1 species